rnacentral:lncRNA from 1 species
GCUAGAAGUCUUGUCAUGUCAAGUCUUGUGGAAAAGACGCAGUGGCUGCAUUGUGAAUCACAUGACUAGAUAAGUGCUGCGCUACUCACUGUGCUUUCCUGUGCAUUUGAGUGUUAUAGGUGUUUCUAAGAUCCCGAUUUUCUUCCUCCUCCACCAUCUAGCCACCACCAGCCUGCUGGCAGCACUGUACAGUUUCCUGUGCAGCGUUGUGGCUGUCGCCUUGCUGUAUGGGUUGUGCUACGGAGCUUUAAGGGAUUCCUGGGAUGGCCAGCACAUUCCGGUACUCUUCUCUGUUUUCUGUGGUUUGCUGGUGGCAGUAUCGUAUCACCUCAGCCGACAGAGCAGCGACCCAUCUGUACUCUUCUCUUUGAUACAAUCCAAG